rnacentral:rRNA from 1 species
GAGUUUGAUCCUGGCUCAGAAUGAACGCUGGCGGCGUGCCUAACACAUGCAAGUCGUACGAGAAAGGGGCUUCGGCCCUGAGUAGAGUGGCGCACGGGUGAGUAACGCGUGGGUAAUCUACCCUUGGAUUUGGGAUAACUUCGCGAAAGCGGAGCUAAUACCGGAUAGUCUGGCUUUAAUUAAGAAGUCGGUAAAGGAUGCCUCUGCAUAUGCUUCGUCCGAGGAUGAGCCCGCGUCUCAUUAGCUAGUUGGUAGGGUAAUGGCCUACCAAGGCAACGAUGAGUAGCAGGUCUGAGAGGAUGAUCAGCCACACUGGAACUGAAACACGGUCCAGACUCCUACGGGAGGCAGCAGUGGGGAAUAUUGCGCAAUGGGCGAAAGCCUGACGCAGCAACGCCGUGUGAGGGAUGAAGGCUUUCGGGUCGUAAACCUCUGUCGGAAGGGAAGAACGGGCAUUGGUCUAAUAGGCCUUUGUUUUGAGGUACCUUUAGAGGAAGCACCGGC